GUGGGGAAUAUUGGACAAUGGGGGAAACCCUGAUCCAGCAAUGCCGCGUGAGUGAUGAAGGCCUUAGGGUUGUAAAGCUCUUUUACCAGGGAUGAUAAUGACAGUACCUGGAGAAUAAGCUCCGGCUAACUCCGUGCCAGCAGCCGCGGUAAUACGGAGGGAGCUAGCGUUGUUCGGAAUUACUGGGCGUAAAGCGCACGUAGGCGGCUACUCAAGUCAGAGGUGAAAGCCCGGGGCUCAACCCCGGAACUGCCUUUGAAACUAGGUAGCUAGAAUCCUGGAGAGGUGAGUGGAAUUCCGAGUGUAGAGGUGAAAUUCGUAGAUAUUCGGAAGAACACCAGUGGCGAAGGCGGCUCACUGGACAGGUAUUGACGCUGAGGUGCGAAAGCGUGGGGAGCAAACAGGAUUAGAUACCCGAGUAGUCC
rnacentral:rRNA from 1 species